rnacentral:rRNA from 1 species
GAUGAACGCUAGCUACAGGCUUGACACAUGCAAGUCGAGGGGAAACGAUAUUGGAAGCUUGCUUCCGAUAGGCGUCGACCGGCGCACGGGUGAGUAACGCGUAUCCAACCUGCCCAUCACUUGGGGAUAACCUUGCGAAAGUAAGACUAAUACCCAAUGACGUCUCUAGAAGACAUCUGAAAGUGAUUAAAGAUUUAUCGGUGAUGGAUGGGGAUGCGUCUGAUUAGCUUGUUGGCGGGGUAACGGCCCACCAAGGCGACGAUCAGUAGGGGUUCUGAGAGGAAGGUCCCCCACAUUGGAACUGAGACACGGUCCAAACUCCUACGGGAGGCAGCAGUGAGGAAUAUUGGUCAAUGGGCGAGAGCCUGAACCAGCCAAGUAGCGUGCAGGAAGACGGCCCUAUGGGUUGUAAACUGCUUUUAUAAGGGAAUAAAGUGGGAGUCGUGACUCCUUUUGCAUGUACCUUAUGAAUAAGGACCGGCUAAUUCCGUGCCAGCAGCCGCGGUAA